rnacentral:rRNA from 1 species
AACGAACGCUGGCGGCAUGCCUAACACAUGCAAGUCGAACGAGACCUUCGGGUCUAGUGGCGCACGUGUGCGUAACGCGUGGGAACCUGCCCUUAGGUUCGGAAUAACUCCCCGAAAGGGGUGCUAAUACCGGAUAAUGUCUUCGGACCAAAGAUUUCUCGCCUUUGGAUGGGCCCGCGUUGGAUUAGCUGGUUGGUAGGGUAAAAGCCUACCAAGGCGACGAUCCAUAGCUGGUCUGAGAGGAUGAUCAGCCACACUGGGACUGAGACACGGCCCAGAAUGCUAAGGGAGGCAGCAGUGGGGAAUAUUGGACAAGGGGCGAAAGCCUGAUCCAGCAAUGCCGCGUGAGUGAGGAAGGCCUUAGGGUUGUAAAGCUCUUUUACCCGGGAUGAUAAUGACAGUACCGGGAGAAUAAGCUCCGGCUAACUACGUG